rnacentral:rRNA from 1 species
CACGUAGGGUGCGAGCGUUGUCCGGAAUUACUGGGCGUAAAGAGCUCGUAGGCGGUUUGUCGCGUCGUCCGUGAAAACUUGGGGCUCAACCCCAAGCUUGCGGGCGAUACGGGCAGACUUGAGUACUGCAGGGGAGACUGGAAUUCCUGGUGUAGCGGUGAAAUGCGCAGAUAUCAGGAGGAACACCGGUGGCGAAGGCGGGUCUCUGGGCAGUAACUGACGCUGAGGAGCGAAAGCGUGGGGAGCGAACAGG